rnacentral:lncRNA from 1 species
CUGGCAUUUGACUGUAUGCUUAAUGUAUGGAUAAUAGGCAGUUAAGAAGGGCUUGCUAAAAAUGUUAAAGAAGGCAGUAACUACUGGAGGACUAUGUAAUGGGACUAAAAAAGUAUUUUCCUGAGUAAACAACAUGUUUUAGUCUUUGCCAGUCACCUUAUUUUGUGCUUCGAUAACCAAUAUCAGUGUUAUGCUUACUACCUCUGGUACACUCUGUUUAAGAGCCUCAGUCUGAUCACAAGACAAGCCUUAACAAGCAUUAGACCCUGAAGCACAAUUAUAAACAGACUUGCUGGAGGUAAAUUAUUAAGUGUCCCUUGUGACGUCUGAAGGAUGGUGGAGUUCCCUGAGUGCUCAGAUUGGUGAGUGUACACCUGCUACAUAUAAAUGAAAGUACCUGCCCUUUUCUGGGACUUCUCAACAGUCAUAUUGGUCAUGUUAUUAUGAGAAGCUUACUUGAAAAUUGCAUAAAAAGAAGAUCAUGCUUCGCUUGAAGACAGAUCUACUGAACUUCAGAUGCCAAAGAAUGAGGGAUCUGUGAGCAGUCUGUUGGCUUUAAAUGGUUGCCUUAUGAUGACGUCUCAGGAAAAGGAAAAGGAAGCAUGAGAACACUGGUGAGUAACUAAAAAU